GUCCUCUACACUUCACUGAUGGGACUGCUUUUGGUUGCUGACAAUGAGAAAGAGCAGCUCACCUUAGGGAGUGGAAGGGUUGGCCUUAGAAACCUAGGAAACACGGU